rnacentral:lncRNA from 1 species
GAGAGCUGUGACUUAGACAGAGAGCAGUUGCUUCUUAGUCAACAUUGUGAAGAAGACAGUUUUUGUGACUUUUAAAGAAGUUGAGUGUAAAAUGUCCACUUUUCUGUGUUCUGAUACUUCAGCUGCAGCAGCAGCUGAACGUCCAGUUCUCCGCAGCAGCACUGCAGAUUACUCCAUCCUGGAGCGUAUUGGUGAAGGCAAAUUUGGGCUGGUGAUGAAGUGCCAGAACCUUAAGAACAAUGAGACGGUGGCUGUGAAAAUCAUCAAGGAGGGCUUUGAACAAUAUUUUGAGCGUGAGAUUUCAAUGCUAAAGAUAAUUAGUGUCCUUGAUACUGACCGUACAAAUUUGCUUACAUUUUACGAGCAUUUUAUGUACGUGGGCUACAAUUGCCUGGCAUUUGAACUUCUUGAGGUCGACCUUUACGAUCUGAUGGAAAACCGAGAGUGG